rnacentral:snRNA from 1 species
GGAUGUGAGGGCGAUCUGGCUGCGACAUCUGUCACCCCAUUGAUCACCAGGGUUGAUUCGGCUGAUCUGGCUGGCUAGGCGGGUGUCCCCUUCCUCCCUCACCGCUCCAGGUGCAUCCCUCCUGAAGCUGGGCGCGCUCCGUGGAAAAGGAUGACCUUCCCCGACAGAGGAGGACCGUUCUUCGGUCAAGGGUAUAAGAAUAGCUGCGCUCCCCUGCUAGAACCUCCAAACAAGCUCUCAAGAAGUGUGAAAAUCCAAAGCAGUAUAAAACCAAACAAAACCAUACCAAAACAGAUCAU